rnacentral:rRNA from 1 species
AGUGAACGCUGGCGGUAGGCCUAACCCAUGCAAGUCGAACGACAACACAGUAAGAGCUUGCUCUUACUGGAGGCGAGUCUCGGACGGGUGAGGACAACAUCGGAAUCUACUUUUUCGUGGGGGCUCACGUAGGGAAACUCACGCUAAUACCGCAUACGACCUUCGCGUGAAAGCAGGGGAUCUUCGGACCUUGCGCGAUUAAAUGAGCCGAUGUCGCAUUAGCUAGUUGGCGGGGUAAAGGCCCACCAAGGCGACGAUCCGUCGCUGGUCUGAGAGGAUGAUCAGCCACACUGUAACAGAGACACGCACCAGAUUCCUACGGGAGGCAGCAGUAGAGAAAAUUGGACAAUAGGCGAGGGCCUGAGCCAGCCAUACGGCGUGGGUGAAGAAGGCCUUCCGGUGGUAAAGGCCUGUUGUUGGGGAAGUUAAGCAGCACCUUAAUACCCCGCUGUUCUGACAGUACCCAAAGAAUAAGCACCGGCUAACUUCGUG